rnacentral:rRNA from 1 species
GACGAACCGUGCAAACGUUGUUCGGAAUCACUGGGCUUAAAGGGCGCGUAGGCGGGCCAGCCAGUCUGUGGUGAAAGCCUCCAGCUUAACUGGAGAAGUGCCGUGGAUACUGCUGGCCUCGAGGAGGGUAGGGGCAUCUGGAACGUUGGGUGGAGCGGUGAAAUGCGUUGAUAUCCAACGGAACUCCGGUGGCGAAGGCGAGGUGCUGGACCCUUUCUGACGCUGAGGCGCGAAAGCCAGGGGAGCAAACGGG